rnacentral:rRNA from 1 species
GACAGAGGGUGCAAACGUUGUUCGGAAUUACUGGGCGUAAAGCGCGUGUAGGCGGCUUGGCAAGUCGGGUGUGAAAGCCCCGGGCUCAACCUGGGAAGUGCACUCGAAACUGCUUGGCUUGAGCACUGGAGAGGGAAACGGAAUUCUCGGUGUAGAGGUGAAAUGCGUAGAUAUCUGGAGGAACACCCGUGGUGCAGACGGCUUGCUGGGCCGUGACUGACGCUGAGGCACGAAAGCGUGGGUAGCAAACAGG